rnacentral:lncRNA from 1 species
UUCUUGGCCCUACAGAGGAGAAGGUUCAUGCACAGGGAGAGGUGUACAAUCCCCCCAAGAAGAACAUUGUAGGAUCUAGAAUUGAUAAAGAUAAUGACGCUUUCCCGAGUUGCAGUAUGAGGAUAUCGCAAUGGGUCUUAAUGAAGAGCUCUCAAAAGUGUAUGAAGCUAUUAAAGCUAAGAAACAAGCAUAGAAAAAAAACAGAGAAAUUAUCCCAGAUAUACUUUAAUUUAAGUUUAAUUGAAAAAAAAUCCUAAACUUUCGUUUAUCUCGUC